rnacentral:rRNA from 1 species
CUACGGGAUGCUGCAGCGAGGAAUAUUGCACAAUGGGGGGAACCCUGAUGCAGCAACGCCGCGUGGAGGAUGACGCAUUUCGGUGUGUAAACUCCUUUUAUAUGUCAAGAAAAUGACGGUAGCAUAUGAAUAAGCACCGGCUAACUCCGUGCCAGCAGCCGCUGUAAUACGGAGGGUGCAAGCGUUACUCGGAAUCACUGGGCGUAAAGGACGCGUAGGCGGGCUGGAAAGUCAGGUGUGAAAUCCUACAGCUUAACUGUAGAACUGCACUUGAAACUUCUAAUCUAGAGUAUGGGAGGGGGAGAUGGAAUUAGUGGUGUAGGGGUAAAAUCCGUAGAUAUCACUAGGAAUACCUAAAGCGAAGGCGAUCUCCUGGAACAUUACUGACGCUAAGGCGUGAAAGCGUGGGGAGCAAACAGGAUUAGAUACCCGGGUAGUC